rnacentral:pre_miRNA from 1 species
UUUAAGUACAGCUAUGGUUUCGAUGCCCAACGUUUGAUCAUCCAUCUUAUUUGAAUUUUGUUUACAAUUAGUAUUUUUAUUGUUAUCAGAUGAUAAAACAUGAAUAAUAUUUUUUAACUUAUUUUUCUAUUUUUUUAAAUAAGAUGGACAGUUAAAUAUUGAACACAGAAACUUACAAAUGCACUUAAA